rnacentral:lncRNA from 1 species
UACACUUAUAAGAAAUAACCAACAACAAGAGUGCACACGCUGAAAUGUCUCGCCUUCUUUACUAAUUAUUGAUAUUAUGUUGAUAGUCCUAAGUAUAAAACUUUAUUAAAAACUGUCACAUAAACUUAGCAUUAACCAAGAUAACUAAACAAAGACCAAUGAACCAUGAAAAUGAGGUCAAGGUCAGAUGAACCAUGCCAGGCAGACAUGUACAGCUAACAAUGCUUCCAUACAACAAAUAUAGUUGACCUAUUACUUAUAGUUUAAGAAAAAUAGACCAAAACACAAAAACUUAACACUGAGCAAUGAACCGUGAAAAUGAGGUCGAGGUCAAAUAAAACCUGCGGGACUGACAUAUAGAUCAUAAAAUAUUUCCAUACACCAAAUAUAGUUGACCUAUAUGGCAUAUAGUAUUAGAUAAAAAGACCAAAACUCAAAAACUUAACUUUGACCACUCAACCAUGAAAAUGAGCUCAAGGUCAGAUGACAUCUGCCCGCUAGACAUGUACAUCUUACAAUCAUUCCAUACAACAAAUAUAGUAGAUCUAUUGCAUAAAGUAUGAGAAAAACAGACCAAAACACAAAAACUUAACUAUAACCACUGAACCAUGAAAAUGAGGUCAAGGUUAGAUGACACCUGCCAGUUGGACAUGUACACCUUACAGUCCUUCCAUACACCGAAUAUACUAGACCUAUUGCUUAUAGUAUCUGAGAUAUGGACUUGACCACCAAAACUUAACCUUGUUCACUGAUCCAUGAAAUGAGGUCGAGGUCAAGUGAAAACUGUCUGACGGGCAUGAGGACCUUGCAAGGUACGCAUAUACCAAAUAUAAUUAUCCUAUUACUUAUGAUAAGAGAGAAUUCAACAUUACAAAAAAUCUGAACUUUUUUUUCAAGUGGUCACUGAACCAUGAAAAUGAGGUCAAGGACAUUUGACAUGUGACUGACGGAAACUUCGUAACAUGAGGCAUCUAUAUACAAAGUAUGAAGCAUCCAGGUCUUCCACCCUCUAAAAUAUAAAGCUUUUAAAAAGUUAGCUAACGCCGCCGCCGUAGCCGCCGUAGCCGCCGCCGCCGCCGGAUCACUAUCCCUAUGUCGAGCUUUCUGCAACAAAAGUUGCAGGCUCGACAAAAAUGU